UACAGAGGGUGCGAGCGUUACUCGGAAUUACUGGGCGUAAAGCGCGCGUAGGCGGCUUUGCAAGUCGGGUGUGAAAUCCCCAGGCUUAACCUGGGAACUGCAUUCGAGACUGCAUUGCUAGAGUAUGGGAGAGGGAAGUGGAAUUUCAGGUGUAGCGGUGAAAUGCGUAGAUAUCUGAAGGAACAUCAGUGGCGAAAGCGACUUCCUGGACCAAUACUGACGCUCAUGUGCGAAAGCGUGGGGAGCAAACAGG
rnacentral:rRNA from 1 species